GAGCCAGGCACCACUGCGUGAACAUAGACUUCCUCUCUCUCCACCUGCUCCCGUACUGCCUGCAAAGAAGUGAUUGCUUCCUGCCUGAUCCUGCGCCAUACUCCAUGGGGGAAUCAAAGGUAGGCCAUGGACCUUGUCCUGGACAACUGGACCGCUCUCUCCUCAAUGAGUGCACAAAUACAAUGUACUGGGCAAGACUAAGAGAGACACAGGACACACAACAAUGAAAUGUAAUAAGGGACUUUUGGAGACAAUUAUAAAAAAGUG
rnacentral:lncRNA from 1 species